CUUAUAAUUAAUACUGACAGUUAGGAAUUUAUAAUCAUCAGAUUAGCGGAUGUUGUGUAUUUGUCCUAUAACCCUGUGAUUGCACUGACACACUGUUUUGUACUGUGGGAGAUGUGAUGUGUAAUAGCCAAUAUUCACCGUGUAUAUUUCCCCAAGAUAAAUUUGGAUUCUUUUCUAUUUUUAGCCUAAAUUGCUCGUCAUAGGUGGCCCAGUUUUCUGACCUCGUUGCCGCUAAUCUUAUAUCGCGCAUAUAUUUUAACAAUUCCUGUGCCCGUGUGCUGUAUUU
rnacentral:lncRNA from 1 species